GGUAGCUCAGUUGGAAGAGCAUUCGCCCGGAAAGCGAAAUGUCCCAGGUUCGAUUCCCCCGGCC
rnacentral:tRNA from 1 species